CACCCCCGAGCCGCCAGGGAUGCCCGUCCGGGCGCGCGAGAAAGUGUGGGAGGAGCUCGCCCCCUACAGGACGACGCGCCCCCCGCCAGCCAGUUUGGGGGUUCGCUGAAGCUAAUGAGAAACGACCAUGGAGUCACCCAGUCCUCCCAACCUUGUGAGCUGGAUUCCAAACAUAAACACUAUUUGUCGGAGCACGUCGCCAUCACUCGCCUGCAGAGCUGGACGGCUCUGUGAUGGCCGGGUAUGCUGGGCAUCGGCACUGACACUCUUCCUACUGCUUCUGCCCAUGGAGCCCGGUGUGUUCCAAUUUCACUGCCAUGAUUCACAAGGAGUGGAGGGUCAGGCCAGGACCAGUUCUCUUCUUAGAGGCGACUCCAACAUCUGAGCUCCGUCUCUUGUCAUCAACGUGAAGACACCUGAGGCAAAUGGGCGAGAGGAACAGGGAGGGGUGUCCCACACACUCCCGGGCACCCAGCGCAUUCACCACAGGACACCCAGACCUGGCCUGGCUAGAAAGAUGCCCCUUGGCUCUCUCUCAACCUGUGCCCACCUGCCAACAUUCAGCCGCAGGCAGGCAGGCAGCAUGUAG
ensembl:lncRNA